rnacentral:lncRNA from 1 species
AGGAAAUCAUCGUGGUUCCAAAGUAGAAGCUGCUGAUAUUCACUGUCACUGUCCGCACAUGCACUGUCCAUGUUGUCCAUUUGGAAAAGGCCUGCAACGCCAUCAAAGAAACUUGUACCACCAAUAGAAUAGAUAGGAGACGUAUGCCGUGAUGAGGUACGUGAUAAUGCACGACAAUUUCCACUGAUCGUGUCACAAAUGCCAAAAUUGGAGCCACUAGGACUUUCAAUCCGGGAAGAAAUAGAGGUGUUAACACCGCCAGAAAACUGAGAAGGGAUAUCAGCAAGAGAUGCUUCAUUAUCUAUUGACUGAACAUCCUCCCAAUGUUCAAAUGCAGAUACCACCAUCUUGUGGGCUUCAACCUGUUAGUAGAUGCAGAGCAGUUGCUUUAGAUGCCACAAAAGGAUGAAAAAGAAGGAAAAUAAGGAAAUAUCAGAAGAACCUUUUCAUCUUCAGCAAGGUCAUGCACGGGAACAAAUAAUUGCUCACGGACUAGCCCCCG